rnacentral:rRNA from 1 species
GAAUACUUCAGCAUGGAAUAAUAGAGUAGGACUUUGGUUCUAUUUUGUUGGUUAUUGAACCUAGUAAUGGUUAAUAGGAACGGUUGGGGGCAUUCGUAUUUAACUGUCAGAGGUGAAAUUCUUAGAUUUGUUAAAGACGAACUACUGCGAAAGCAUUUGCCAAGGACGUUUCCAUUAAUCAAGAACGAAAGUUAGGGGAUCGAAGACGAUCAGAUACCGUCGUAGUCCUAACCAUAAACCAUGCCGACUAGUGAUUGGAGGUCGUCGUUUUGCU